rnacentral:lncRNA from 10 species
CAAGCAGGUGUUACAGAUCUCCUCCUCCUAGGGAGCUUGCAGUAUUUUACCCAGUUUGUGGAGUUCCAUUUGAGGAUUGCUGGGGGUUGUGGACCAUCCAGAGAUCUUUCCAUGGUAAAGAUCAAGCAUCGUGGGUUGCCAUGAUCUAUUGUCAGAUUGAGUCUCACUCUGUUGCCCAGGCUGGAGCACAGUGGCGUGAUCUUGGCUCACUGCAACCUCCAGGGUUCAAGGGAACCUGUAAAGGAAACCAGUAGCUUAUCUGUACCAGUGGCAUAUCUGUAUAAUCUCUUAGAAAAUCAAGGGUUCAAAAUCAAACACCUUGCUAGUUUGCGAUUCAGUGAUUCAAGAAUGAAUUCUGCAGUUGGAGGACUCUCUAGGCCCUUCAGUGUUCCACUUACUUUUUCUGCUCUUAUU